AUUAUUUAAGUUUCUCGUGCGUUAUAAUGUCUCAGCUUAUGUACUAUUGUUUAAAUAUUAAUUAAUUCAUUUUACUUCGUGUACAUUAUAGAAUGUUAAAAUAGUAUUAAAAUUAUCGAAAGUAUUAAUUUCUAAGUCUUCACGUCUAUGAAGACAGAGCUACGAUGCUUACUCUCCAAAAUCCAAAAGAAAACAUUGUUUCGAUAACAAUCAAAGUCCGUUCGUUUCUGUUGACGUAAACAGACAAUGGUCGUACUUUUCAUUGAUAUUAGAAGAUGGCAACGGUUCGGAGUUCAAUAUUUAAUCGUAUUGAAAUGUUAAGAUAAAAUUAUUUCAUAUUUAACGCGUAAAAAGUAGAAUUUAUUAAAUACCUAAAUGUACAAUAGAGUAAUUGAUGUAACAGAAGAGUUUCUGAACGGAGAAAAUAAGGAAGAAUAACAAAAGGAAUGAGAAAAGAGGACGGACCAUGUUCCAAUAAUCUCGUAGAACGUUUUUAGAAUUGGCGAGCCGCCAGUCUUUAUGCGUUAAGUUAAAAUUAAACGACACCAGGUGGAGAUUGAGAUUAUGCGCUCGAGUUAGUGUCUGCGACAUGUCUAGAGCAGCCGACGAAGGAACGAAAGCUUUUGUUUGCGAGAAAAGAAAAGAACAAAAAUAGGACUUACAGAACACCGUCCUGUCCAUGAUGUAGGCAUCACUGAGCCCAACUUUGACAGGAUGUGUAGUGUCUUCUAUUUGUUCUAUUAUGAAAGGAAUAACGGAAUACACGAAGACGAUGUCACCGUUCUGAUGCAGAGUUACCUGGAAAGUGAAUGAACUGUCGGCGUGCUUCUCCUGUAGAUGAACUUUUUCCCAUUCGACCGUAAAUGACGUACCUAGAAAUAUGAAAAAUAUUCGAUAAAUAUAUAAAAAUGAUAGGGAA